rnacentral:rRNA from 1 species
GACGAACGCUGGCGGCGUGCUUAACACAUGCAAGUCGAACGGAAAGGCCCUGCUUUUGUGGGGUGCUCGAGUGGCGAACGGGUGAGUAACACGUGAGUAACCUGCCCUUGACUUUGGGAUAACUUCAGGAAACUGGGGCUAAUACCGGAUAGGAGCUCCUGCUGCAUGGUGGGGGUUGGAAAGUUUCGGCGGUUGGGGAUGGACUCGCGGGUUAUGAGCUGGGUGGUGAGGUAGGGGCUUACCAAGGCUUUGAGGGGUAGCCGGCCUGAGAGGGGGACCGGCCACAGUGGAACUGGGACGCGGUCCAGACUCAGAUGGGAGGCAGAGGUGGGGAAGCUGCCGCAAGGGGGGAAAGCGUGACGGGGCAACGCCGCGUGAGUGAUGAAGGUCUUCGGAUCGGAAAACGCUGUUAGUAGGGAAGAACAAAUGUGUAAGUAACUAUGCAGGUCGUGAAGGUACCUAAUCAGAAAGACACGGCGAACUACGUG